rnacentral:misc_RNA from 1 species
GAUGAAGAACGUAGCGAAAUGCGAUACUUGGUGUGAAUUGCAGAAUCCGGUGAACCAUCGAGUCUUUGAACGCAAGUUGCGCCCGAAGCCAUUAGGCCGAGGGCACGCCUGCCUGGGCGUCACACGUCGUUGCCCCCCCAUCUACUCCUUCGGGAUUGCGGGGGGCGGAUGAUGGCCUCUCGUGCGCCUCGUCGCGCGGUUGGCCUAAAUGCCAAGUCCUCGGCGACGCACGCCACGACAAUCGGUGGUUGCGAAACCUCGGUUGCCUGUCGUGUGCGGUCGUCGCGCAUCGAGGGCUCGAAAAAAUUGCCGGGCUUCGGCUCGACUUUCAACGCGACCCCAGGUCAGGCGGGGUUACCCGCUGAAUUUAAGCAUAUCAAUAAGCGGAGGA